UAAGUGAUGGCGACCGGCGCACGGGUGAGUAACACUAUCCAACCUGCCGAUAACUCGGGGAUAGCCUUUCGAAAGAAAGAUUAAUACCCGAUGGUAUAAUAAAGCCGCAUGGUUUAAUUAUUAAAGAAUUUCGGUUAUCGAUGGGGAUGCGUUCCAUUAGGCAGUUGGUGAGGUAACGGCUCACCAAACCUUCGAUGGAUAGGGGUUCUGAGAGGAAGGUCCCCCACAUUGGAACUGAGACACGGUCCAA
rnacentral:rRNA from 1 species